CAGUAGCCGCGGGAAUACGUAGGGUGCGAGCGUUAAUCGGAAUUACUGGGCGUAAAGCGUGCGCAGGCGGUUUUGUAAGACAGGCGUGAAAUCCCCGGGCUCAACCUGGGAAUGGCGCUUGUGACUGCAAAGCUAGAGUGCGGCAGAGGGGGAUGGAAUUCCGCGUGUAGCAGUGAAAUGCGUAGAUAUGCGGAGGAACACCGAUGGCGAAGGCAAUCCCCUGGGCCUGCACUGACGCUCAUGCACGAAAGCGUGGGGAGCAAACAGGAUUAGAUACCCGAGUAGUCCCUGUCUCUUAUAC
rnacentral:rRNA from 1 species